UACGAAGGGGGCUAGCGUUGCUCGGAAUCACUGGGCGUAAAGCGCACGUAGGCGGACUCUUAAGUCGGUGGUGAAAUCCUGGAGCUCAACUCCAGAACUGCCUUCGAUACUGCGGGUCUCGAGUCCGGGAGAGGUGAGUGGAAUUCCUAGUGUAGAGGUGAAAUUCGUAGAUAUUAGGAAGAACACCAGUGGCGAAGGCGGCUCACUGGCCCGGUACUGACGCUGAGGCGCGAAAGCGUGGGGAGCAAACAGG
rnacentral:rRNA from 1 species